rnacentral:tRNA from 1 species
GGAGAGGUGGCUGAGUCUGGCUGAAGGCGCUCGCCUGGAAAGCGGGUGUACCUUAACUGGUACCGUGGGUUCAAAUCCCACCCUCUCCG